AUCAGAGGGUAACUAGGUCUCACGUGGUUUACUUCCGCUACAGGUUUUAAAAGGAAGAUGGAAGAUGGCGCGCGCUCCUUUGGUACGUCGGGUGGCAAUGGCCAGAGGAACCGGGCUCUGGUGGCACAGGAAACUGUCACACAGCCAAGAUGCCAAAGAUGAUCAGCAACAAUGGGAAUCACAUGCUUUACGUUGUCCCUCUUCAAGAACAAACUGACACUUCUUCCUUCUUCAUUAAACUCUGGACAAUGCAAUUAAAGACCUGCUGAAUACGUCAAGUCCAGAACUCGAAACCACAUAACCCAAAACCUCAUGGGCUCACACUACAGAGCCAUGAUGUAGAUGGCUUGAUGAACCCAACUGUCUUGCCUUUUUUGGGGACUUGUCACCAGUUAAUUGGUAAUGGCUACUCUAGUGAUUACUUCAACAUAUGCCUCUCAACCAGCUGCCAAAGUGUUGGAUAAGAUGGGAAAUCCCUACUGCAGCGUUGAAGUCGUCAAGGCAGAGAACCUGUUGUCCUCCACUGGCUGUGUGCUGCCCUCUUCGCAACUGUCUGCAGUGAGGAAGGACAAAACCCAAGCAAUGAUGACCUCUGUUGGA